rnacentral:rRNA from 1 species
GACGAACGCUGGCGGCGUGCCUAACACAUGCGAGUCGAGCGAUGAAAUUAGAAACGGAGUCUUCGGACGAAGAGGAAAAUGGAUUAGCGGCGGACGGGUGAGUAACACGUGAGCAACCUGCCUAUCACAUCGGGAUAGCCUCGGGAAACUGGGAUUAAUACCGAAUGAAACAUAAUCACUGCCUAGUGGAAAUGUCAAAGAUUUAUCGGUGAUAGAUGGGCUCGCGUCUGAUUAGCUAGUUGGUGAGGUAAUGGCUCACCAAGGCGACGAUCAGUAGCCGGACUGAGAGGGUGAACGGCCACAUUGGGACUGAGACACGGCCCAAACUCCUACGGGAGGCAGCAGUGGGGAAUAUUGCACAAUGGAGGGAACUCUGAUGCAGCGACGCCGCGUGAGCGAUGAAGGCUUUCGAGUCGUAAAGCUCUGUCGAAUGGGAAGAUAAUGACGGUACCAUUUGAGAAAGCCCCGGCUAACUACGUGCCAGCCGCCGCGGUAACAC